rnacentral:rRNA from 1 species
UACAGAGGGUGCAAGCGUUAAUCGGAAUUACUGGGCGUAAAGCGCACGCAGGCGGUUGGUUAAGUCAGAUGUGAAAGCCCCGGGCUCAACCUGGGAAUUGCAUUUGAAACUGGCCAACUAGAGUACGUGAGAGGGGGGUAGAAUUCCAAGUGUAGCGGUGAAAUGCGUAGAGAUUUGGAGGAAUACCAGUGGCGAAGGUGGCCCCCUGGCACGAUACUGACGCUCAGGUGCGAAAGCGUGGGGAGCAAACAGG